CGUCUCUAAAGUGUCAGUUCCGAGUUCGCGGAGUGAAGUGCUUCUGGGAGUCCUUAAUAACGGCAGAAAAAAAGCUGUAAAAACAAGAAGACAGGAAAAAAUGGAGGAGACACAAUCCAGUGAAUCACGAGAGGAAAGAGGACAAAUGCUUGUCAGAUGCGAGAGUAUGGAGAGAAUAAAGCCAAGCUUCUCCUGUGAUCCAGACGGGCCUGUAAAGAGUGAUUCAGUCAAAACUGAGGAGAGAUUCUCAUCAAACCCUUCAUCAUCAUCAUCAUCUUCAUCACCAUUGUAACGACUGAGACCAUCAGACACUAAAGCCCACUGUAAAGAGAGCAGAAAAGGCCUCAAUCGUCCGGCGCCCGUCAGAUAAGAUGGUUUUAUUGGAGAAUGUGGUCAUGUGAUCAGACCGAGGCCAUGGGAAAGACAGAAACACAUCUUAAAACAGACUUUCCUGCAGUAAUGUAGAAGAACUGAUCUAUAAAUGAACUGAAAGCUUCACCUUCAAACAGAAUUACUGACUAAUUCUACAAUAUGUGUUUAAUACAUGGUUAAAACUGACAGCUAGUCUAUUGAUGUUCAUAUGUGAUAUUUUAAGAUUGCAUGACAUUAUCUGAAACCUUGAGUUUUGGUGAAUUAAAGGAACAUGCCGAUUUCAGCUGAUUCAGUGUAUCCCCAGAGGAAGGCAUUUGUAAAAGCCUGACACAGGAGAUCUUUGUGAAGUACAGCAGCUUCUGAAACUCUGAGUUAUUUUUCUGAACAUGUCAACAAGAGAAACUUCCUUAUUAUCAGUUUCUGAAUCCGUUACUCACACAAAGUCACAUCAAGCCUGUGUCUGAUGACUCAACCGUUGAAUGCUGGAAUAAUGUGAAUAGGAUAACACAAACUUGACAUCAUAUUUUGCUCUGCUCAUUUAAUAAAGACUGUGAAAAUUCUUGUGUACGUUUCAUGCAUCUUUAUUUAGGAUUUAUGUAUAUUACAUAUUUUGUAUAUAUUUUUGUAUCUACAUUUUGUACGACAAAGCUAGACAGAAAUCUGCCGUUGUAUUUUGAAUUGUUCGGUAUAUUUCAUCUGGACAGUUUACAUAUUUAGUUAUGCAAAACUCAAAUAUUUAGUUAUAUUUUCAUAUUUAGAAAUUGAUUUAAUUAGAAAAAGCAUUUAAUUUCCAUCACACUUUCAGUUAAUAACAAAAUAUGAAACAUUAUUUAUGACCCACAAAAGCAGCACACUUGAAACUGUCUCGCUUUAGGCCUCUAAAUGUAAAGUUACAAUUAAAUGUAUUUCAAACUAAAUUAAAGAUCAUCUGUGAAUAUAAAUGUAUGCAAUCUUUGAUAUAUUUAUGUGAAUAAACACCAUUCUGCCGUUA